UGCAAGUCGAACGGCAGCACAGGAGAGCUUGCUCUCUGGGUGGCGAGUGGCGGACGGGUGAGGAAUACAUCGGAAUCUACUUUUUCGUGGGGGAUAACGUAGGGAAACUUACGCUAAUACCGCAUACGACCUACGGGUGAAAGCAGGGGAUCUUCGGACCUUGCGCGAUUGAAUGAGCCGAUGUCGGAUUAGCUAGUUGGCGGGGUAAAGGCCCACCAAGGCGACGAUCCGUAGCUGGUCUGAGAGGAUGAUCAGCCACACUGGAACUGAGACACGGUCCAGACUCCUACGGGAGGCAGCAGUGGGGAAUAUUGGACAAUGGGCGCAAGCCUGAUCCAGCCAUACCGCGUGGGUGAAGAAGGCCUUCGGGUUGUAAAGCCCUUUUGUUGGGAAAGAAAUCCAGCUGGUUAAUACCCGGUUGGGAUGACGGUACCCAAAGAAUAAGCACCGGCUAACUUCGUGCCAGCAGCCGCGGUAAUACGAAGGGUGCAAGCGUUACUCGGAAUUACUGGGCGUAAAGCGUGCGUAGGUGGUCGUUUAAGUCCGUUGUGAAAGCCCUGGGCUCAACCUGGGAACUGCAGUGGAUACUGGACGACUAGAGUGUGGUAGAGGGUAGCGGAAUUCCUGGUGUAGCAGUGAAAUGCGUAGAGAUCAGGAGGAACAUCCAUGGCGAAGGCAGCUACCUGGACCAACACUGACACUGAGGCACGAAAGCGUGGGGAGCACACAGGAUUAGAUACCCUGGUAGUCCACGCCCUAGACGAUGCGAACUGGAUGUUGGGUGCAAUUUGGCACGCAGUAUCGAAGCUAACGCGUUAAGUUCGCCGCCUGGGGAGUACGGUCGCAAGACUGAAACUCAUAGGAAUUGACGGGGGCCCGCACAAGCGGUGGAGUAUGUGGUUUAAUUCAAUGCAACGCGAAGAACCUUACCUGGCCUUGACAUGUCGAGAACUUUCCAGAGAUGGAUUGGUGCCUUCGGGAACUCGAACACAGGUGCUGCAUGGCUGUCGUCAGCUCGUGUCCUGACAUG
rnacentral:rRNA from 1 species